GUCUUUCUCUGUGAUAACUGCACUAGCCCAUCUAUUUCAGCGCGGCUCCAGGGCUGGGUUUCCAGACAGGCUCAGGAGCUUUAUUUCUGUCAGGAUUCGGCGCACAAGAGCCUGUGUCAGGGGAGUUUACCCUCAAUUAAGCCCAGGUGUAAAAUUACACUUCUACCAACUGCUGUGCUUAAAAAUGGCAGAGAGUGAUUCUUCUCCAUUAAGCUUGAGGGCUCAGCCAAAUGCAUCACCUGAAUUCUCCAACAACCUGCUGAAAUUACAGGUUCAUUUCAGAACACUUA
rnacentral:lncRNA from 1 species